rnacentral:rRNA from 1 species
CAACCGGCGAACGGGUGCGUAACACGUGAGCAACCUGCCGCGCUCUGGGGGAUAGCCGGCCCAACGGCCGGGUAAUACCGCAUACGUUCUUUGGGGGGAGUCCCCUGAAGAGGAAACCUCCGGGGGAGCGCGAGGGGCUCGCGGCCUAUCAGCUAGUUGGCGGGGUAAUGGCCCACCAAGGCGACGACGGGUAGCUGGUCUGAGAGGAUGGCCAGCCACAUUGGGACUGAGAGACGGCCCAG